rnacentral:rRNA from 1 species
GAUGAACGCUGGCGGCGUGCCUAAUACAUGCAAGUCGAACGAAACUUCUUUAUCACCGAGUGCUUGCACUCACCGAUAAAGAGUUGAGUGGCGAACGGGUGAGUAACACGUGGGCAACCUGCCCAAAAGAGGGGGAUAACACUUGGAAACAGGCGCUAAUACCGCAUAACCAUAGUUACCGCAUGGUAACUAUGUAAAAGGUGGCUAUACUACCGCUUUUGGAUGGGCCCGCGGCGCAUUAGCUAGUUGGUAGGGUAAAGGCUUACCAAGGCAAUGAUGCGUAGCCGAAUUGAGAGGUUGAUCGGCCACAUUGGGACUGAGACACGGCCCAAACUCCUACGGGAGGCAGCAGUAGGGAAUCUUCCACAAUGGGCGAAAGCCUGAUGGAGCAACGCCGCGUGGGUGAAGAAGGUCUUCGGAUCGUAAAACCCUGUUGUUAGAGAAGAAAGUGCGUGAGAGUAACUGUUCACGUUUCGACGGUAUCUAACCAGAAAGCCACUGCUAACUACGUG